GACGAACGCUGGCGGCGUGCCUAAUACAUGCAAGUCGAACGCUUCUUUCCUCCCGAGUGCUUGCACUCAAUUGGAAAGAGGAGUGGCGGACGGGUGAGUAACACGUGUGUAACCUACCCAUCAGAGGGGGAUAACACUUGGAAACAGGUGCUAAUACCGCAUAACAGUUUAUGCCGCAUGGCAUAAGAGUGAAAGGCGCUUUCGGGUGUCGCUGAUGGAUGGACCCGCGGUGCAUUAGCUAGUUGGUGAGGUAACGGCUCACCAAGGCCACGAUGCAUAGCCGACCUGAGAGGGUGAUCGGCCACACUGGGACUGAGACACGGCCCAGACUCCUACGGGAGGCAGCAGUAGGGAAUCUUCGGCAAUGGACGAAAGUCUGACCGAGCAACGCCGCGUGAGUGAAGAAGGUUUUCGGAUCGUAAAACUCUGUUGUUAGAGAAGAAAAAGGACGUUAGUAACUGAACGUCCCCUGACGGUAUCUAAACAGAAAGCCACGGCUAACUACGUG
rnacentral:rRNA from 1 species